GAUGGUGGGACUAGCAGAUGCAAAUACCCUGAGGUGGGAAAAAUUUUUGCAUUGUUGGGGAAAGAUAAGGAGAGCAAUCUGGCUGAGUAAGCAGGGAGAAUGUGUGGGAAGACGAGGUCAGAGAGGCCAGCAGGGCCUGUGGACCAUGGGAAGAGGAGUUCAGAUUUUAUUGCAAGGAAGCACCAGCCGUGUGUCACGGGCUCAUUGACUUCCUACAACAGAAGGAUGCCUUUUACGGAUACAGAACCAAGGCUGGAGCGCCCAGGUGGCCUGCCUCAGCUCACACAGAGAGAACCGUCGGUGCUCCCGCUGCCACCUGGAUGAAGUUUAAACACCUUGGCUGAGUAAGCUGGGCCCUGCACCAUCUCCUUGACCUCUGCAGCCUGGUCCCCCGUGCAGCCAACCAAGCAGAUGACCCUUGAUUCCUCAGACACACGCUGUCCCUUCACACUUCCUCAGACUCGCUCAAGCCUCGCCUGGCAGUGGAGUGCCCUUUCUCACCUCAGGGGAGACUCGAUGGGGAGAAAGAAGGGACGAUGUCCCCACCUGGAACCCCACCCAAGAGAUAAGAAAUGGAGCUUAGAAGGGGCCUCCGACACAUUAGCAACUCAGCCCCCGAUCCAAGGAAGGAGCCCCCGAACUGGGGACUGAUGGGAAAAUGAAACUCUCAGGCAUUUGCCCUGUCAAUGAACUGGGCGGAAGGAGAUGAAAUUCUUAGUGAAGAACAGAAACACCUCCUCACUCAGCAGCUGGCGGAGAGAAGCCACAUGGCACAGGGGUUCACGGCGCGGCUUUGAAUCCAUCUGUUUAUGGUGCUGUGACUUUGGGCAAGUGACUUCACCUUGUUCAAACUCAGUUUCUGCGUCUGUCCUGGCACGUGCCUCAUGGGAUUGUUAAGGGUUAAAUGAGCUAGUGCCCAUCAAGUGCCUGGCACAUAGUAGGUCCAAUAAUUGGACACUGUUAUUGUAAAAUGGCUUAGGGAGUCCCAGGACAGACUCAGGCAGAGAGACCAGAAAAGGCCCGGCCUCAAGUCCAGGAAGAUGAAAGGGGACAGUUGUUUGAAGUCUCUAAAGGCACCAAGGGCCAUGCUUUCAACAAGGUCAGGAACCGGGGCCUGUUUGAAGUUGGAAAAAGGUAAAUUCCGGACAAAAUUCAGCAUAAAUAGAGACAUUUCCUCCAUGUCACCCUGAG